rnacentral:tRNA from 1 species
AAGAUAAAAAGACUUUUAGCAUUUAGUUCUAUCGGACAUGUAGGGUACUUAUUGAUAGGUGUUUGUUCAGGCA